AUAUAUAUUAUUUAUUUAUUUUAAUUGGUGUAGCCCCCAAAAUAUUGUGACAUAUUAAAAAAAAAACAAAAAAAAAAAACAACAGAGUAGCUGUUGACUUUAUAGUUGCGCAGGAACUUUGUUGACUCUAGAGAACCUCGGGCAAAUCGCACAUCCCCGUGGCGGCGACUUUGCAUGCGCAUGUUAUCAACUUUUGAUGCCAGUUUCUGCGCCUACCAUGGUGACCACGGGUAACUGGGAAUCAGGGUUCAAUUCCGUCUAGGGACCCUGAGAAACGGCUACCACAUGCAAGGAAGGAAGCAGGCGUGCAAAUGACCCACUCCCGACGCGGGAUGGUAG